rnacentral:rRNA from 1 species
AUUGAACGCUGGCGGAAUGCUUUACACAUGCAAGUCGAACGGCAGCACGGACUUCGGUCUGGUGGCGAGUGGCGAACGGGUGAGUAAUGUAUCGGAACGUGCCCAGUCGUGGGGGAUAACGUAGUGAAAAUUACGCUAAUACCGCAUACGAUCUAUGGAUGAAAGCGGGGGAUCGCAAGACCUCGCGCGAUUGGAGCGGCCGAUAUCAGAUUAGGUAGUUGGUGGGGUAAAGGCCCACCAAGCCAACGAUCUGUAGCUGGUCUGAGAGGACGACCAGCCACACUGGAACUGAGACACGGUCCAGACUCCUACGGGAGGCGGCAGUGGGGAAUUUUGGACAGUGGGCGAAAGCCUGAUCCAGCCAUUCCGCGUGCAGGAUGAAGGCCCUCGGGUUGUAAACUGCUUUUGUACAGAGCGAAAAGGUUUCUACUAAUACUAGGAGCUCAUGACGGUACUGUAAGAAUAAGCACCGGCUAACUACGUGCCAGCAGCCGCCGUAA